UACGUAGGGUGCAAGCGUUAAUCGGAAUUACUGGGCGUAAAGCGUGCGCAGGCGGUUUUUUAAGCCAGAUGUGAAAUCCCCGAGCUUAACUUGGGAACUGCAUUUGGGACUGGAAGGCUAGAGUACGGCAGAGGGGACUGGAAUUCCUGGUGUAGCAGUGAAAUGCGUAGAUAUCAGGAGGAAUACCGAUGGCGAAGGCAGGUCUCUGGGCUGACACUGACGCUCAUGCACGAAAGCGUGGGGAGCAAACAGG
rnacentral:rRNA from 1 species